AACUGUCAGACCUGCUGACCUCCAGUCAAUGGCAGAGGCAGGAAGAUGGGGGCCCCUGCGGUGGGCAGAAUAACGGCCACUGCAAAGAUGCCAAAUCUUAUCCCCAGAGCUUCCGCAGAGAUCCUGCAGAUGUGAUUCGAGUCUUCCAGCAACACCACCUCACUCUGCUUUGCACAAUCACUCCACCUCCCCACAUGUUGCGGAGAUUCUCCUGGCUGUGACACGGGAAACAUCCUCCACCAGGUCUUCUCUCACAGUGUGGCCUCUGCGCACAGGUUAUCCACCUGUAGACCUGGACGGGACCCUCGAGGCUCCCUACUCUGACCAUCUGGUUUUAUAGUUGAGGAACCAGAAGCCGAGGCAGGUAACUUGGUGCAGCCUAAAGGCCUCCAUCCCUCCAGUGCCCACAACUUAGGUGCCCACGACAACAACACUGGCCUACCGCAAAGACCCAGCCCAGAGGAACAAGGUGCCACUGUAUGUCUGAAAAGGGGGCCCUCGGCCUCACUGGGGAGCACCUUCCUCCAUCAGGGUCUCGACGGUGAAGAAGCAGGCUGUUUCCAUCUUCAGGAUACAAGCCAUCUGCGCAUAGGAAGAGGGUCCAGAGGCUCAUCUGGAAUCCCUCCUCACUCACUGGACGGAGGACCUGACCCCGUUCCCAUCAUUGGUUCUGAAUCCAUCAGCCCAGCAAGACAGGUGUCUCCAGCAAGUUCUGUAAAAUACAACCAUAGCCGGGCCUGGAGUCAGCCCCCAAUAAAGGGUUCACCAUGGAGUCAAAGCUUCCUUCACAUUGGGAAGAGCCUGAUGAUGCCGCCUUGGUGCCACCCGUGCAGGCCGUGUUCCACUUCUGUCAUGGGCUGGAGAGAAAAGAGCGACAUGGACCUGUUCAUGAAAGGCUCUUCCCGCAACACCAAGCCUGGGGCCUGCAGGGCCGCCAUGAAGAAAGGUGGCUCCUGCUUGGCAGAGAGAAAAGGGGAGGGAGGGCAGGUGAGUCACCAGCAUUGGGCCCCUCAGCCCAGGCUGCCAAGGCAGCCCAGUGGAACCUGUCCCCAUACAGCAUGUUUUUAGUUUGAAUGGUUUUACAGUGUUGGAGCUGUAACUUUACAAAUUUGCUUUGCCUUCAUAACUCUG
rnacentral:lncRNA from 1 species